rnacentral:rRNA from 1 species
AUUGAACGCUGGCGGCAUGCUUUACACAUGCAAGUCGAACGGUGACAGGCCGCAAGGUGCUGACGAGUGGCGAACGGGUGGGUAAUGCAUCGGAACGUGCCCAGUCGUGGGGGAUAACGCAGCGAAAGCUGCGCUAAUACCGCAUACGAUCUAUGGAUGAAAGCGGGGGACCGUAAGGCCUCGCGCGAUUGGAGCGGCCGAUAUCAGAUUAGGUAGUUGGUGGGGUAAAGGCCUACCAAGCCUACGAUCUGUAGCUGGUCUGAGAGGACGACCAGCCACACUGGGACUGAGACACGGCCCAGACUCCUACGGGAGGCAGCAGUGGGGAAUUUUGGACAAUGGACGCAAGUCUGAUCCAGCCAUGCCGCGUGCGGGAAGAAGGCCUUCGGGUUGUAAACCGCUUUUGUCAGGGAAGAAAAGGUUCUGGUUAAUACCUGGGACUCAUGACGGUACCUGAAGAAUAAGCACCGGCUAACUACGUGCCAGCAGCCGCCGUAAGAC